rnacentral:misc_RNA from 1 species
GAUGAAGAACGCAGCGAAAUGCGAUAAGUAGUGUGAAUUGCAGAAUCCGUGAGUCAUCGAAUCUUUGAACGCACAUUGCGCCCUUUGGUAUUCCGAAGGGCAUGCCUGUUCGAGCGUCAUUAUCACCACUCAAGCCCGGCUUGCUGUUGGUGGCAGCGCAGCCGGUCAACCGGCUACGCUCCACCCAAAGAUAAUGACGGCGUCUGCGAGGACUCCUGUACAUUGAGCUUUCGGGCACGUACAUGGCUAGAAGUCCAGGCGCCGGUCGACGUCCUCCGGGACACUUUUUACCAAGGUUGACCUCGGAUCAGGUAGGGAUACCCGCUGAACUUAAGCAUAUCAAUAAGCGGAGGA